rnacentral:rRNA from 1 species
GACGUAGGGCGCGAGCGUUGUCCGGAUUUAUUGGGCGUAAAGAGCUCGUAGGCGGCUUGUUGCGUCAGCUGUGAAAUCCCUCGGCUCAACUGAGGAACUGCCUUUGAAACUGUCUAGCUCGAGGCCGGGAGGGGGUGGCGGAAUUCCCAGUGUAGCGGUGAAAUGCGUAGAUAUUGGGAGGAACACCAGUGGCGAAGGCGGCCACCUGGACCGGUUCUGGACGCUGAUGCGCGAAAGCGUGGGUAGCAAACAGG